CACGGAAUUAGCCGGUCCUUUUUCUGAAGGUACAUACAAUAAGGGACACGUCCCUUUUUUUAUUCCCAACUAAAAGCAGUUUACAACCCGGAGGGCCGUCAUCCUGCACGCUACUUGGCUGGUUCAGACUUGCGUCCAUUGACCAAUAUUCCUCACUGCCGCCUCCCCGUAGGAGUCUGGACCGUGUCUCAGUUCCAGUGUGGGGGACCUUCCUCUCAGAACCCCUACCGAUCGAAGGCUAGGUGGGCCGUUACCCCGCCUACUACCUAAUCGGACGCAUCACCAUCUCAUACCGAUAAAUCUUUGAUUAGCCCACCAUGCGGAGAACUAAUAACAUCGGGUAUUAAUCUUAUUUCGCAAGGCUAUCCCCGAGUAUGAGGCAGGUUUGAUACGCGUUACGCACCCGUGCGCCGGUCGCCAUCAGAAGAAGCAAGCUCUUCCAUGCUGCCCCUCGACUUGCAUGUGUUAAGCCUGUAGCUAGCGUUCAUCUGAGCCAGGAUCAAACUCU
rnacentral:rRNA from 1 species